rnacentral:lncRNA from 1 species
CUUGAUUCAGUUAUGCAAGGUGUUUUUUCAGGAAAAUUACUUUAAAUGCAUUAGAACAAGGUAUCAUGAAUGGAGAAAGGAGUGACAUGAAGAAUGAAGAAGUCAAGGGCAAAUAGCUUUACUAGAAGCGAGAACUCAAUUUGAUGCACCAACAAACUUCAGAUGUAAGGAGAUUCAUAGCUUUAGUGAAGAGAAAGACAAGCUGAACUCAAGGUGGUCGAGACCCAUAGAUAGGGGUGAGCCCAGCAUUUCCUAUAUAAGAGCAGGUUCU